AUGUGAUAUCUUCAGAGGGGAGUUGUACUUACCAAAGACAACCUCGCCAGUCACAAUUGGCAAGGAAGUAAGAAGUGUGGCUUUUAUACCCAUGACAAGACAAUCAAGCACCUCUUUUUCUAGUGCAUGUUUGCGGGUUCUACAUGGCCAGUCAUCCACAUAGCGUCAAAUUUGUAUCCUCCCACAAGUGUUGCCAAUAUUUUUGGUCACUGGUUGGACGGUAUUUCAAAUAGGCUUAAAACACUAAUAAGGGUGUGA
rnacentral:rRNA from 1 species